rnacentral:rRNA from 1 species
CGCGGCCUAUCAGCUUGUUGGUGGGGUCACGGCCCACCAAGGCGACGACGGGUAGCCGGCCUGAGAGGGCGACCGGCCACACUGGGACUGAGACACGGCCCAGACUCCUACGGGAGGCAGCAGUGGGGAAUAUUGCGCAAUGGGCGAAAGCCUGACGCAGCGACGCCGCGUGAGGGAUGAAGGCCUUCGGGUUGUAAACCUCUUUCAGCAGGGACGAAGCGAGAGUGACGGUACCUGCAGAAGAAGCACCGGCCAACUACGUGCCAGCAGCCGCGGUAAUACGUAGGGUGCAAGCGUUGUCCGGAAUUAUUGGGCGUAAAGAGCUCGUAGGCGGUCUGUCGCGUCGGCUGUGAAAACUCGGGGCUCAACCCCGAGCCUGCAGUCGAUACGGGCAGACUAGAGUGCUGUAGGGGAGACUGGAAUUCCUGGUGUAGCGGUGAAAUGCGCAGAUAUCAGGAGGAACACCGGUGGCGAAGGCGGGUCUCUGGGCAGUAACUGACGCUGAGGAGCGAAAGCGUGGGGAGCAAGCAGGAUUAGAUACCCUGGUAGUCCACGCCGUAAACGGUGGGUGCUAGGUGUAGGCGGUAUUCCACGCCGUCUGUGCCGCAGCUAACGCAUUAAGCACCCCGCCUGGGGAGUACGG